AUGUCUUCUGCUAGUUCUGCCCGGUCUGGUCUCCGCGGCCGGACAGUGGUGGUGCCACUCAUCCCAUGUCCUCGCUGCCAGGCGACAGUGAGGUACUACGUUUCGAACACAGAGGAUCACGAGGGCUGGGUGUUCUACAGAUGUCCCAAUCACUCCGCUACUGGGUGUGAUUUCUGGUUUUGGGAGAUGGAAUAUGUUGCGUACCUAGUAGAUGCUCAUUUCUUGGUUGGGAACCAAGCUGUGGAUGCUGUUGGAGCAACAGAGGAGAGGAGGGAAGAACUCAUUAGGGCUAGUUAUGAAAGGAGAAGGAUUGCAACUCAAGUGGCAACUAGUAGAGCUGCUUUGGCAAGGCCUGGCUCUCUGCAGCAGAAUAUGAGCAAGCACCAAGAAAGUGCAUUGAUUGGAUUAGGUGCAGAGAUCUUGGUGCUGCUGAAGCUUCUGUUAGGUAGUGUGAUGCUGUUGUGUGCCCUCUGUGUUCUUCUAUUGAUGAAGAAGUGA
rnacentral:rRNA from 1 species